rnacentral:lncRNA from 1 species
GUGGUGAAAGUCAGAGUGAAUGAAUUUGGCCAUAUUGGCACCUUCUUAUCUGGAAAAGUGGAGAUUGUUGAAAUCAAUGACCCCUUCACUGGCUUCAAAUAUAUGGUCUAUGUGUUCCAAUAUGACUCUACCUGUGUCAAACUUAAUGGCACAGUCAAGGCUGAGAAUAGGAAGCUUAUCAUCAAUGGGAAAGCCCGGCACCAUCUUCCAGGAAUGAGAUCCCGCUAGCAUCAAAUGGGGUAAUGCUGAUACUUAGUAUGUUGUGGAGUCUACUGGCAUCUUUACCACCAUGGAGAAGGCCAGGGCCCACUUGAAGGGUGUGGCCAAAAGGAUCAUCAUCACUGUUAUUUCUUCUGAUGCCCCUAUGUUUGUGAUGCACAAGAAGUAUGAUGACUCACUCAAGAUUUUUAGUAAUAUUUCCUAGACCACCAACUACUUAGCACUCUUGGCCAAGGUCAUCCAUGACAACUUUGGCAUUUUGAAAGGACUCAUGACCACAGAUCAUGACAUCACUGCCACACAGAAGACUAUGGCUGGCCCCUCUGGAAGGCUGUGGUAUGAUGGCCAUGGGACUGCCCAGAACAUCCAUUGGUGCUGACAAGUCUGUGGGCAAGUUCAUAUGACACAUGAAGGGGAAGCUCCCUGGCAUAGCCUUCUGUUUUCCUACUGCUAAUGUAUCCAUCAUGAAUCUGUCAUGCCGUCUGGAGAAACCUGCCAAGUAUAAUGACAUCAAGAAGGUGGUGCAGCAAGCAUCUGUGGGCCCAUUAAAUUUGCAUCCUGGGUUACACUGAGAAUCGGGCUGUCUCCUAUAACUUAAAUAGUAAUUAUCAUUCCCACUUUUGAUGCUGUGUCUGGCAUUUCUCUCAAGGACAUCUUUGUAAGGCUUAUUUCCAGAUAUGACAAUGAAUAUGGUUACAUCAACAGGGUGGUAGACAUCAUGGCCUAUAUGGCAUCCAAAGAGUAA